rnacentral:lncRNA from 1 species
GUGAGAUUCUCUCUCUUCCUGAUUUAAUUUCUAUUUGAAUUUGAUUCAAAAUAGGAUCAAAUCUUAUCCGAUAUGGUGUGUAAGAAAACCUUAUUUUCGUGCGACAAAAAUCUGGAAAGAAUAAUGGGCAUGCACUAUUUUUUUUGGUGGGAGGUUCUUCUUGCCGCACAACACAAUCUCAACACAUCUAAUCCCUUCCUUUUGAUAUGAACACCUA